UACAGAGGGGGCAAGCGUUGUUCGGAAUUACUGGGCGUAAAGGGCGCGUAGGCGGCCUGUUAAGUCGAACGUGAAAUCCCCGGGCUCAACCCGGGAACUGCGUCCGAUACUGGCAGGCUUGAAUCCGGGAGAGGGAUGCGGAAUUCCAGGUGUAGCGGUGAAGUGCGUAGAUAUCUGGAGGAACACCGGUGGCGAAGGCGGCAUCCUGGACCGGCAUUGACGCUGAGGCGCGAAAGCCAGGGGAGCAAACGGG
rnacentral:rRNA from 1 species